UCUUUAACUGUCCUGACUCAGUUUCCCUGUCUCAGUUACCUUAACUGUUCUGUCUCUGACCCAGUAAAACUAAGGAUUGUUCGCUCUUGGGUUAUAAAUUAGCAAGAUAAAAGAGUAGCUCUCCUGACUCUUUUAUGGAUUUACAAUAUUCCUUUAGAAUAUUCCAAGACCAACCCAUGAUAUCUUUACUUUGUCUCUGGAAUUUUUAGGUUUUAUGGCUUCCCCUCCCUGAUAAAAAAACUUUCCCUCCCUUUCUCUUCUUUGUCUCCAAAAAUGUAUUUAAGAAGUUGUUGUUCCUCCAUUCAUUGCUGGAGAAUGGCAUCUGGCAGCUGUAUGCUGGACGCUGGAUUCUUUGGGUCCUCCAGCCCUGGGACCAAUAUGGAUUCCUUGGUCCCAGUAUACUUAUCUCUGUCUGACUGGAUAAUCUGAGACGAGAGUCCUGUCCAGUCAAUCUUACUCUCCCAUUAAUAAAAUAUUAAAAACU